UGGGGAAUAUUGCACAAUGGGCGCAAGCCUGAUGCAGCCAUGCCGCGUGUGUGAAGAAGGCCUUCGGGUUGAAAAGCACUUUCAGCGAGGAGGAAGGGUAGUGUGUUAAUAGCACAUUGCAUUGACGUUACUCGCAGAAGAAGCACCGGCUAACUCCGUGCCAGCAGCCGCGGUAAUACGGAGGGUGCAAGCGUUAAUCGGAAUUACUGGGCGUAAAGCGCACGCAGGCGGUUUGUUAAGUCAGAUGUGAAAUCCCCGCGCUUAACGUGGGAACUGCAUUUGAAACUGGCAAGCUAGAGUCUUGUAGAGGGGGGUAGAAUUCCAGGUGUAGCGGUGAAAUGCGUAGAGAUCUGGAGGAAUACCGGUGGCGAAGGCGGCCCCCUGGACAAAGACUGACGCUCAGGUGCGAAAGCGUGGGGAGCAAACA
rnacentral:rRNA from 1 species